GUGAGAUGCAAAGCGCGGGGAGAAGUGGCGGGCAAAAAAAAAAAAAAACUUUCGCCGAUUCCGUCGCCCUCCAUUGCAGCCUGUCUCUUCCGCCGCCGCCAAGGUAUGGGUCGAGGUUGUGAUGGUCUCCCUGACUGCUUCGGUGAAGAAGAAGACGAGGGAAUGGGGAAUGGCAUGGAAGAUGUGGUUGGCAAUGUGAAGAAUGAAGCAGUUGAACAAGAAGAUACCACCGGCAGCAUCCCUAGCCCACUGUUAGCAAGGCCGAACAAAAGGCUUCGGGCUGAA